GACUUUUAACAGACUCAAAACUCUGAUGUAACUGAGCGUAACCGUAGCCUUAUGAGUCCUCCUAGUUACUCGGUCUCCUGAUGAUGCUUAUCUUGUUUUUGUUGACAAGGUGCAGCUGAGUCAGUGGCCUGACUAACACUAUUCUCUGAUCUUCUCUCUUCCUAAGCAGUACGAACUUCUCCUCAUAGACAAAGAAAACCCUUUACCUCCCCCGUUGAGUUUUGGAGCAUAAUUCAGUAUACGACUGCAAUUUUGGGUUCAUCCCCAACUUCGAGUUUGUCGGAUUUUUCAAACCUAAAUUUGAAUUGGGGUUUUCUUUUGGUUUUUGAUCGAAUUACUCUGUUGCUUUAAUGGUUGAACUCGUUAAGACCUCUUCGUUGAUUUACCGAACUAAUAACCGAGGGUAAGCACUUCGAUUUUCCGUAAAAGUUCUAGACUAAUUGAGCUAGCGCGACUUCGCGAAUUAACUGCAACGGAAAAGGCUGAAGGGAAGCAAAAUCAUGGUUAACUGUCAUACACUAAGUGAAAUUACAUAGAGACGAAGGUGAACUUGCAAAGAGAUAUACAAGACUAUUAACCAAUAUUGCAAGUAACAUUUAUUUCUUGUCCACCUUACCUACUGAACUACCAUUUUUAAGUUUUAGGAGAACAAAUUACUACAUAAUUUGCAAUUUAAAACUUCAGUGUUUUAAGCAGUUGGGAUGCCAACUAACAUCUUAUCAGAUGAGCCUGUUUCCGAGUAUAUCAGACUAUUCUAUUGAAUAAGAUUGAGGUUUUGUGUGUA